GUCUGACAGCAGCCAGUGCUCCAAGCAGAGGUUUGAUAGAAUCCAAGGUGAUUGUCCCCCAAAAAAUGGUCCAUUCCAGACUAUCGACUGUCCCCAUUCGAAUCUAAAACACAGCCAACAGACUAUGCAUGGACUAGUGAAUACUGGGCCAGUGCUCAAAUCAGAUGGCAUCAGCAGCUGCAAACUCAGAUCUAUCCUUGCCCUUCCUGAGGCUUGGCUUUGAUUACUGGGCCCCCCACCACGAGCCAACACAUGGCCAUGAGCGCAUACCAACUCAGUGCACAACCUCUGAGCAACCACUUGGAAACAAUCAAGAGGUAAAUAGCAUGAAAUAGAGGUGUUUGGAAACGGUUUGGAGAGAUCGUGCAGAUUAGGAGAGUAUUUAGUAAUUGCUCAAAGCCAGAUUAUUCUUGCCUUUGGAACUUUCACAAAGGGCGUUACAGUCGGAGGCGAGCAGGAAUCAUUGCCACAGAAAGUCAUUUGGGAAACUGUAACCAGAGGUCAGAGUCACUUGGGCGAAUGUCAGAUUGUUUUUCUACGUAUAGUGAAAGUCACAGUCCCGGAGGAAACUGUUGGAAUCAUUUGACAGCUGUGUUUGAAGAGCUUCUUUGCACGAGUUUUGAUGGAGGUUGUGACUUCUGCCAUUCUGCUACCUGUUGAGUGGCCUUGGAACUCAAUGACACGACAGGUGCACUUCCAGCUUAAGUACCUGCUCCUCUACAAAGCAGCUGCGGUGAUUGCUGAAAACAUAUGACCAAGCAGAGCUCUCCAACAACAUUUGGAAAUGGUCUAAGACACAAGGUA